ACCAUAUAUUUUUUUUCCUUUAAGCAUUAGUACUUUUUGAACAGAAUACCAAAAAGAAAACAAAAGGUAAAAUCUGUUUUCAUCCCUUUUUUUUCUCGGUUUCUAUGGCCAAUACCCAUUAACUGCUAUAGCCACUUGACCUUUUUCAUUGUUUAUUGUGUCAUUACAUUUUGCAUAAAUGAUUCUUAUCAUUAAUGUGGUGGAUUCUUCUCCUUUUUUGUUUAACAUAUCUGCAAUAUCAAUUCUUUAGGAUGAUGAAG
rnacentral:misc_RNA from 1 species